rnacentral:tRNA from 1 species
GAUGUUAUGCCAGAGAAAUUGGAUUAUCUUGAUGAGGUAAAAUAUGAGAUUACUAUCUUUAACAUUU